rnacentral:misc_RNA from 1 species
CAAUUGAUUGGUUUUUCGCACCUGCGAAUGCACCCAUCCCUGUUUGCACGUCCAUGCUGCCCCAAUCGUCACAGUACAGGCCUCAAGGGUUCGCACUGUAUGGUUGGCAAUGCGUGGAGCGUGAAAAGCAAGGAGUGCGCUCGCACAUGCGAAUGCACCCAUCCUUGUUUGCACGUCCAUGCUGCCCCAAUCGUCACAGUACAGGCCUCAAGGGUUCGCACUGUAUGGCUGGCAAUGCGUGGAGCGUGAAAGCAGGAGUUGCGCACUGCGCAGAAAUCUCUUGGCUGAUUGUGGGUUCCUGGUAGUCAUGGAUCACUGAAGCGCGAAUUCUUUGCAAAGCACAUGCGUUGCACUGUGCAUGUGAUUCCAAUCAUUGGGCCUGCUCUUGCUUUGCAUGGCGCUCGUUGAUGGAAGUUCACGCGCGAGGUUCUCGUGGAAAGGAGUCGGAUUCAUUGGUUCGGCUGCUAAUUCUUUCUUUGCUCGUUGAGCUUUGUUGCUGCCUCGACGGGGCUUCGGUGACAAGGCGUUCGUCGUCUUUCUCACUGUGGCCCCCGAUCGGUGGUGAUGUAAC